GGACGGGAGGCUGCUGAGGCGGCUGGAGAGGCCUCAUUAUUUUGGUCGAAGGAGAAACUCCAUCUAUUCCUUGUAUUGAAGAAAGCCCACCGUUUACUGAGCACCGACUGUGUGCGGGCACGUUCUGGAUGCUGGAGACACAGCAGCCAAUAGAGACGUUGUCCCUCUCUGCGGAGUCGAGGAGACAGGCGGUUAGAGGCCUAUGCUAACAUGAGAGCUGGUGUAGACAGGACGUGCCCUGACGAAAUUAACAGCCACCUGGAGAGUGGAGGAUCCGGUAGUGGGCCCCAUGCUAGAUGGGCUGAUCUGGGAAGCCUCUGUGAAGAGGUGAUGCUCGACUGUCACUUUAACAAGAUCCCUGUGGCUGCUGUGAGGACAGUAGACAGCCAGAGGAUCAGUGAGCAGCGGCAGCUCUAAGGGACAUUGGUGGCUUGGGCGGUGUGAAGCCUGGAGGGUGAGGAGGGGUUGGAUGUGGGCCUGAUGGAGGAGUCAAGGGUGACAUCGGGACCUGAGCCACAGAGUGGAUGGAAGGCAGUGGCCUUUACUGACAUGGAGAAUGCUUGGGGCAAAGGCGGGUGGAUCGAGAGUCCUGUUCUGGCCUCAUUGAGUUGGGUAUGUCUGUGUGACAUCCGCCUGGAAAAAUCCAACGGUGUUGUUGGGGUGGAGGUCAGGCGGCUGUCCAGAUGUGGGUGUCAGCCAUCAGUAGACUAUGGCAUUUGUAGCCUUGGGCCUGCGGGAGAUGCCCAAGGGGCGAGGCUCGAUGGAGAAGAGGCCGGGCCUGGGCAGCUCGACCUUCAGCGGCAGAGACAGGAAGGGGACCCAGCCAGGGAGGCCUGGGAAGGCCGCAUGUGGUGCAGGAGCUGAGCCAGGAAAGCGCCUCAGCGGGAAGGCAGGGAGAAGCCCAGGAGACGUGGCCUGGGAAGGACUGUGGGAUGUGCCAUGCCAAGGUCCCUGGUGACCAGGGUAAUGGCGGGCCUGAGGGAGAGGAACGUGCCCAGACGGACAUGGCUUUCCCACCAUGGGGAGCUCAGCCUUGGACCUAAGUGUGGAGGAUGAGGGAUGCUCCGGACAGGGCCCUGUGGUCCCCUGAGGAGACAGAAUGGGGCAAAACCAGGUGAGAAAGUGAUCCCAGGUGGAUCCCAAGGAAAUGAGGGCUCUAAGGGUGGUCUCCUAGGAGUGGCUCAUGGAGCCCCCGUUCUGAGGGACAGGGGAGAGGCUGGGAGCACUGAAGGGGGAUACACACAUGGUUCAGGAGUGAGGAGAGGUCAGCAGAAGCUGGCCCAGGGUGCUCAGAGGGGGCAGCGGGAGCAGGCCGAGGGACCCCUUGGACAGCCUCUGUUUUCCAGGAAAGCAGAUCAAGGCCGCAUCUGAGGUGGGCCCUGCAGAGUGGACCCCUGCUAGGUGGAGGCAUGGCAGCAGGGUGGGGAUCCAGGGCUGAGGGCUGGGCAGGCGCCUGCAGGGCAGGGAGGAGCCAGCAGGGAGGCUCCGGUCAUUGGCCUGGGGCAGGGCAGGCAUUCACCUGCAGGCACUGAGCAGGGCUGGCUAGCCCUCCCCUCAGGGUCAGACCAGGGCUGACAGGAGGCUGUGGUGGUCCACAGGGGCCUCUGUCCCCCCUUCCACUCGGGCCCAGAAGACAGGCGCCCGGUUCCAGGCAGAGAAGCACAUUCCUGGGAGGCCGAGCCCAGGGUGGGGCGCCUAGCUGGGUGGGAUAUCCAGGGAGCACGGCUGGAUUCUACUACAGAUACUCUCUUCUCAGGAACCGGGAUCCUCGGAUGGGGAAACUGAGGCCCAGGUGGAGGCAGAGCAGGGCCGGGGCAGACCUCCAUCACCAGUCCACGCUUUCCUGUCCAGUCUCAGGCUCAGGACAGGCCGCUCUGGAGACACUGGGUGCACUUCUCCUCCGACCCUCAGGUGUCUCCAGACAGUUCUUUAUGGAGAGAAGCCCCGGGUGUCGCACGUCCCUGGCCAGGGGACGAAGGCAGGCAGUGUGCCGAUGCUCACGUCUGUGGGGCUCUCUGUCCCAGGAAGCAGGUUGUUGUCCUGCCGGCUCGGCCUGCCUUCUCUCUCCUGUGCAGAGGACUGUGGCAGGAGGAGGGCCUGUGGUCCCUUGGCAAGGUGACGAUGGGCCCUGCUCCCCAAGCUGCCUCUCUGGCCCAGUACCCUGCCUGCUGCAGAGCAAGGAGCCCUGGGAUCCCCAGCUGUGGGGAAAUGAGGGGACCCCAAUCUUCCGUCCAGGUUCUCUUGGUGCCUAAGACAGGACAAGACCCCCUGCGGGCCCCAGGCCUGCCUCCCCUGAAUGGGCCUCACACACUAGGAGUGGCCUCACCAGUCCCUGGGGACAGCCCAGACACCUGGGGUUCCCUGCCUGCCUCUGCGCAGCCCCACAUGGCACCUGAUACUCCCCAGGACUCUCCAGUCCUCUCCCUUCCCUCCCACACGUCUCAGCGCCGCCGCCACCUCUUCCUCCAGCCUCAGACUCUCUCUUCUGGGGAUGCCCCAGAUCUCUGGCUCGUUCCUUCCUUCAUUUUCCUCCCUACCAGCCCAGAUGUUCUGUUGAAGAGCAGAGGAAGGGAGGGUGUUGGAAACACCCCCUACUCCAGGAAGCCCUCCCUGAGGGGACCAGAGCUUCCCUGUCUUCUGUUAGGGUCCCACACACUGAAUUUCUGAGUAGAUUUAUCCCAAAGGCAGCACACGCCUGUGGGGACAAACCGGAAGGCUCAGACAUGAGGUGAGUGUGUGUGCAUGCAUGUCGGAGCAGCUGUCCUUCCUUCGACAACACAUGGCGCCGCUUGUCAGCCCUGAGCAUCCUCUGUCAGGGGCCUUUCCUCCGGGCUGUGAGCUCAGUGCCCACCCCCUUCGGGUGCAUGGACCCCAACCGCGGUGGAUGGGCCUCUGCGCAGCUCCAGCCAGCCCCUCCCAGGAGCCGCUGUGUCCUCGGCCCUUCCUGUCUGGGUCAUGGGUAUUUUUAGCACCGAAUCCGGAACGCACUGGGCAGCAGCUGCUCACAGGCAGAGCACAGGGACAACACACUGUCCAGGUGGCUGCUUCAGGCCUGGGCAGCAAAGGGAGCACCCUGGGCCUGGCCCUCUGAGCCUGUGAUUAAGUUGGGAAUGUGACCCAGAACUGGAGUGAAGGCCAGCUCUGAGGAGGAGGGCGAAGCGACAUUGCGUGGAGCCUGCAGGAGCUGCCCCACGGCCUUCACUCUGCACCCCGCCCCAGCUGGGGAUAUCCAGCUAGGCCACAGCCCCCCAUGUUUCCCCACCCAAGGGGGGAGUCUGUGUGGGGAUCAGAGACGGCCGGCGCCUGCCCUCAGGACACCCUGUGGUUGGGGUUGGGGGGAGUCAACAGAUACAAAUGCAAACAAGCAGCAAAUGGAAAUACUGGAACUUAACACAUUAUCCACAAUCAAAACUCCCCGCAUGGGCUCAGUAAGAGAAUGGAGAACACAGAGGGAGGAGUCGUGAACUUAGAGACAGAAAUGGGAGAGUCUGAAGAACGCAGAGGAGAAGGACUGAACAGGAGUUCACAGGGCGCGGAGACAUGUAGGAUGCUCAGAAGUCCUCAUUUCCUGCCACUGGAACUUACUUCACCUCUGACCGUCAUUUGUCCAUCUGUAGAUGGGGUGGCUGUCCCUUCCUCACCCAGAGUGUUGGGAACUACAUAAGAUAGUGGGUGCAGAGCAAUGUGUGGACGUGGUAGUCCUACUAAGUGUUCACAUCCAUCCACCCACCCUCUGCGUGAGCUGCAGAGCCACAGCUAGGAGGUCACAUAGGCCUCGCUGACCCGGCCUCCGGCAUUUCAGGUGCUACAGGGACAAUAUCUGCAAGGGUUCAGCAAGGCCCAGCUAGCGCAGGCUGGUCCUCCACUGGGGAAGGAGACCCCGCUGUUGGAGGUGAAGACCACCACGGUGUCCUUCAGGGCCCCCGCUCCAUGCAGCUCCUGGAGCAGGAGUCCAGGCCCUGUGGGGUGGGGACAGGGACAGUGGAGCUCAACUGCAGACAGACCCAGAGGCACGAGAACAUGCGAACACUCACGCAUUUCUUCAUCCCUCUGCUAGACCCUGCACCUGUCAUUUGCUGACAUCAACUCUGCCAUCCUUCCCACCAGCCCAGGCCUCUCACCCAACCCCCCACCCAGUGCCCCAUGCUGGAGCAGGCCUUGCAGAGCUCCGCCUGAGCGCUCCUCUCCAGGGACUCUGGCCAUCCCUUGGCACUUCCGUGUCACCCCUGCGCAGCUGCUACCUGCCGUCCGCUGGAUUCUGUGUUUUCUGGAAUCCCACGUCUGCCCAUGGAGCUACCAGAGACAGUCUUGGGCAGGGGCUGGAAGAGAGGAUCCCUCACCCCACACCCUUCCCAGGUCACCGUGAACUAGUGGCACCAACAGGGAAAUGAGGAAGGCACCCAUCUCCUGUAGGGGAUUCAAUGGUGACCCACCCCCAAAAAAUGUCCCCCCCGGAAGCUGUGAAUGUGACCUUCUUUGGAAAAAGAGUCCUUACAGAUGUAAUUGCCAAGGAUCUCAAGGUGAGAGCAUCCUGAAGCACCCAGGUGGCCCUAAAUCCAGUGACAAGUGUCCUUAUAAGAAGAGGAGAGACGCAGAGCAGAAGACACAGAGAAGGCCCUGUGAUGAUGGAGGCGGAGCCUGGAGUGGGGCAGCCAUGUCACAAGGGACGCCUGGGGCCAGCAGAAGCUGGAGGAAGCAGGAAGGUCCUAGAGGCCCAGAGGGAACCCAGGCUGCCGACGCUGUGAUUUCAGACUGCCGGCCCAGGAUGGAGCCCAAGCCAUGGCCCACCCCACCCACCAUCCAGGCUCCUUGGACCCACCUUGGUCCCUCUGCCCGAUGGGGUGUCCCGAGUGCCCAGGUCAGCUCAGGAUGCUGGGGUGUCAGUGAUGAAGUAAGGCACCGGGGGGCAGGUGGGUGGGAGUCAGG
ensembl:lncRNA